ensembl:lncRNA
CACCUCAAAUAACUUCCCCAAGAUAUCAGUGGAUGUCUGGCUGAAGUUCUUAACCUUUACUUUAUACUCACUAACAGCAAAAAUGAGAAGAACCACUUUUCAAGAAUGCAAAUUUUGUUCCAGGAACAUUCAUUAUCUCACUUCACCUUUGUGCUCCUGUGAGUAAAUAAUGUCUCUGUUCUACAGAUGAGGAAACCAAGGCUUCGAGGUACCCAAUAACUGGCUUAAAGUUACUGAUAUCACGUGUUGAAUGCUAGUAAAUAAUGGAGCUGAAACUCUGGAAUUGCAAAGAGGAUAUAAAUUGUGAUCCUACUAUUUCUAGUCAGAAAAGUUUAAAACUGGCAUCUGUGGCCCUCACUUCUCUGCCAGACUCCAUGUCCCGAAGGCUGACCUUGCAGAGUGCACCACCUGGGCUACCUGUUCAGUUCAACCAACAAGAAUUGUCCUCUUCCACUGCCUCAAUGCUAAGGAUCCAACUGUGGCUUCUCCUUUUAUAACAACUCCUGAUAGACUCUUACCAUAACACCAGCUCUCCCUAAGAUCCAAAAACAUGAUUGCCUCCCCUGUUCCUUUAGGCCUAACAGUAAUAUCAUCUUCUUCUUACAGCCAUACGUGGGUGCCGUAGGAUCCCUUGCUGAUGUGAUCCAUUCAUAGUUCUAUAUAAGGUGCCUUCAUUCAAUUCUCAUCAGAGCCUAAUGUGACUGUGCAUUUUCAUCUUGCCAGGCCCCUGAGUGAUAUAACAAAUACUUAUAACAGACGGAAAUGGUGGAGGACAAGGGACCCCACUUCAGAGCCCCUACCAUAGGCCAAGCAGACAGCCAAGUAAUUUUAUGGUUGAUAAUAAAUGUCAAUCACUCUGAAGAAAGGGGUGUGAGGCAGGGUAAGACAAAGCGGGUGUCACAGGAAUUUGAGACAUAGGUUUCAGAUCCUUGCCAUUAGGUACUCCUAUUUCCCCAACUCAGAAUUUGAUAAAAGAAGGAGAAUCAGAACUAAUCCAUUCAGUUAGCCUGAAUAACAGAAAUGCUAGAGUGUAAAAUGUAGAUGUAAAAUAUUCUUCCAAGUUUGAAUGCAAUUUAAAUAGAAAGAGUGAAGGAAAGAGCAAGUAUUUAACUUUUUUUUUGUACCAUUCUAUGUACCUUAGUGUAGCACAGAGGUGAGCAGACAUAAACAUGAUUAAUGAAGUGACUAAUGUCCUCACUUAAAUCUCUGGAAUGGUUUACAAUUUUAAAAGGGUAUACCAUCAAAAGGAUGUGUUCCCCCCCCUUCACACACACACACACACACACACACACACACACACACACGUUUAAGCAUGACUUAAAUAAUAGAAAAAAUAGUAACCAGUGGCAAGUGUCUAGCACAGGAAUGAUGACGGGUCCUGAGUGCUGUGGAUUGGAUCGGGAAUGUGCUCUAAAGGCCCAUAUUCACAGCCUCGGUCUAUAGCGUGGUCCUAUUGAGAGGUUGGGGCAACACUAAGGGGUGAGGCCUCAUGGGACGUUUUAGGUCACUGAGGCUGCACUUGAUGGGGAUUGUGGACCCUGGAAUCUUUUUCUUUUUCUUUUGGUUCCCAGCCAUGAGCAAAUAGCUUUGCUCCUCCUCCCUGCUCUCCUACCAGGAUGUGCUGCUCUGCCACAGGUCCAAAAGUAAUGAGGCCAACCAACUAUGGACUGAAGCUUCCUAAACUGUGAGCCAAACAAAACCUUUCUUGUGAUAAAUUGAUCAUCUCAGAUAUUUGUUUUAGUAAUGGAUAUCUAAGAUAGAAAAUUCUGGGUUAGGCCUUAGCAACCACCACAGUUAGAUGAUUCAAAGGUUAUCUUAUUAAAAUAUUCUAAGUAUCAGUUCUGUCAGGAAAAAAUAACUGCGAUCUUUUUUAUCAAUAUUUUUUCUUUUUUUGCAAGUUUUUUUAAAAAGUAGAACAGAAAAGGUACUUUAGAUCCUUUGUGCACAACCUAUAACCAAACAAAAUAACCACAGCCUAGGG